AUGGCCGAAGAGUCUAAUUGGAUUGUGACUCUAGUGAAGAGUCCUACUCAGACUAGGACUCUGACAGAGAGUCCCACUGAGACUGAGACUCUACUAUUUUUGAAAAAUUAAUUAGUAAUUAGAUUACUAGUUGACUCAAUUUGAUUGAGUAAAGAGCUUUGGAUCAAGUCUAACUAAAUUAGAUUCAGUUUGACUCUGAUUAGGUU
rnacentral:lncRNA from 1 species